rnacentral:rRNA from 1 species
GAUGAACGCUGGCGGCGUGCCUAAUACAUGCAAGUCGAGCGAACGGACGAGAAGCUUGCUUCUCUGAUGUUAGCGGCGGACGGGUGAGUAACACGUGUAUAACCUACCUAUAAGACUGGGAUAACUUCGGGAAACCGGAUCUAAUACCGGAUAAUAUUUUGAACCGCAUGGUUCAAAAGUGAAAGACGUUCUUGCUGUCACUUAUAGAUGGAUCCGCGCUGCAUUAGCUAGUUGGUAAGGUAACGGCUUACCAAGGCAACGAUGCAUAGCCGACCUGAGAGGGUGAUCGGCCACACUGGAACUGAGACACGGUCCAGACUCCUACGGGAGGCAGCAGUAGGGAAUAUUCCGCAAUGGGCGAAAGCCUGACGGAGCAACGCCGCGUGAGUGAUGAAGGUCUUCGGAUCGUAAAACUCUGUUAUUAGGGAAGAACAGAUGUGUAAGUAACUGUGCACAUCUUGACGGUACCUAAUCAGAAAGCCACGGCUAACUACGUG